AUGUGCUGCUGCAUUCCUGAGUGGAGGACUGCGGUGCCCCCUUCUGGCAGGGGCACAACUUCUGCCGUUAACUUUGAGCUCAGCUCCGCCCCCGCGAGAGGGAAUCAUGUAAAUACAAGAGACGAGAGCGUCUCCAUUAAAGCUUGUAUUUCAAGAGACAAGCUGGCGGGUUGUGCUGAAGACAUUUCAGCGUCUUCUAUUUUCUUGUCGCUUUGCGUCUUGGAGUCCAUUUCUCAGUCUGUCGGCCGUCCUGGCUUUUCUGUGAGCCCGACGUCACUUUCCAUCCGGCUCGCUCUGCCGCCUCGCAUCGCCUGAUACCUGAUCACGGCAAGCGGCGCAAAUCAACCCUUUUGUAGUCACGACGGAGGGAGGGGCGGGCGAUUCUGGCUAAAGGAGUCCAGCAGAGCUCUUGAGGCGGGAGAAUGGUCGGCGCUGGUCGAGCUGAGGUCUGAGUCCAGACCACGCGGCGCGAGACCCCCCCCUUCCGAGGACGCCGUGCACGCCGUCCACGUAAGGAAAACCUCGGCGGGGCCACGGCCAGGAAGACUCCAAGAUAACCACGUUGACGCCCGGCGGGAGGAGAUGAUGGCCAACGGAUUCGAGUUCGUCUGAACAAACAACAAGGUCAGACACGUUUGGAUAUUAAGGACUGCCAUCACAUGCAAAACAUUUGCAUGUAUAGAAGUUACUUAAGCUACUUAGAUCGGUUUGAUCGGUAUCGGCCGAUAAUUUGCAUUUUAUGCCGAUCGGCUUUCGUGUCAUAAUUCGCCGAUCCGAUCAAUGACAUCGUCGAUCGGCUCCGCACAAGACAUUUAACUCCGCGUCUUCGUCGCGUAUAAAUCCAAAAGCUAGUUUGUUUUUAGCCUUGUCACGUGUCUUGUGGCGCAGUACUGUACCUAUCUGAGGGCCAAUAAAGUUUUUGCAAUCUUGUCGGUGAAAAAACACGUCGUCGGUGCGGGACUAUUUUGCGGUGUCUCAGCGAAACGGCACGCAAGUUCUUUGCAGUCUGUGCACAACUGAAGUACGUCGUGGGGAACGUCAUGCUUCAACGCAACUCAUUUGAUCGGGCACCUGAAGAACGCAGCGUGGAAGGAAAAAAAGGGAAAAGCCAAACGGACACAAACUCCGGACAACAUCCGUCCAUAAAGCCGGGACAGUGAGAAAGUUAGAGUAAGCAUGUCAUUAACAGUAUUUGUUAAAGUCAUUUAAUUACAGUAAGUUAGCACCCAUUAUUUGUGUCAGUUGUAAUGUUGAUUUGACCUAAACUUAGGUCAGUGGCCAAUCCUUGACUGCCCCCUAGAGGUCAUUGAUGUUUUAACUUUUGUCUAAAAUGCUAGAGAAUAAUUUGGAAGAUACAGUACUCAGUAUACAGUACACAAGUAUAUAAAUAUAAAUGAACAAGCCUUGUAAAUAGACACAUUGCUCCAUCUUGUGAUCAGUUAUCGUUUUUUUUUGUUUUUUUUAAACUUGCUGAUCGGUGAUCGGCCCCAAAAAUCCUGAUCGUGUACAACCGAUUAGUAAGUAGAUGGACAGAGGAAUCUAUGGGAGGAUGUACAGUAUGCAGGACAAAUUUGUGGUUGGAUCGAGAGAUAAAUAGGUCGAUGGCCGGCUGGACUAUUGGGUGACGGAUGGAUGGAUGGAUGGAUGAGUGAAGGGAUGUAUAGUUGGAUGGACACAUUGAAGGGUGCACUGUUGGAUGAACACAUGAAUGGACUGAUGACAGGUGGAAGGAUGGACGGACGCAUGGAUUUUUGGAUGGAGGGAUGAGCAGAUGAAUUGACAGAUGGAUGACGGACGGCUCCACGUCAAGGGCCCUAGGACCUGCAGUGAGGUCACUUCGACACCAACGUGGACCCGAGGGACGUCUCGUGUUCUGUGAAGCUCUCAGCGCUGUCACCCCGCCAAUCUUGUCCAGACAUUCUCAGUCGCUGCCAGAUCCCGUUGGUAGCGACUUCAUUGGAAGCUGGUCCACUGCCCAGAGUCAUCAGUCAGUGGAACAAAGCCCCCACCACCACAGCGCAAACGAACUCGGCCGUGAACUCCGCCGCCCCCUGUCGUCCUCUGCCCGCUUCCCACCCGGGCCGGUCGUCGUGGCAACAGGGCCGAGGGCUCGCUUUCGUGAAGGAUGACAGGAAGCGAGCGUCAGGAUGCUGUUUGGCGAAAACAUCACAGGCAACCUCGUCUCCCGCGAACCCUUCGAUAACGACGUGUGCUGGCUCCGCAACAUUGUGUCAGUCCAUUCGACUCUGAUGUGUGCUCGCCCUGCGAUGUUUGACGUGUCCACGUUUACGUUAUGUGGUUGCGCCGCGACGUUAUUUCCCUCCGUGCUUACUUUCGAGUAGACUCUGACUUCUGAUCGCUCCUCAAUGUUGUGUGCGUCUGUGUUAAAGUUACAGUAGACUCUGAAGCGGUAGUUCCGUAAUGUUAUAUUUGCUGCGUAAUGUUGCGAAAGUUAAUGUUUAUAUACCAGUAGAUUAAAACGUGGUUGCUUGUUAUGUGGUCGAGCCACAACGUCAUGUGCGUCCGUGUUCCAGAAGACUGUGACACGUUUGUAGACCCUGACACACGCUCAUUCCAAAAUGUUGCGCGCAUCCAUGUUGAUGCGGUCUCUCCGCAAUGUUGUGUGCGCCCACGUUCCAGUCGACUGUGACAUGUCGUCGCUCCACAUUGUAGUACGUGUCCAUAGUUAUGUUCCAGGCGAUGCUGAUGUCGUUCCACAAUGUUGUGUGCGCCCUUAUUGACAUCCUUGUAGACUCUGGCAUGUGGUUGCUCCACAAUGUUGCGCAUCCGUGUUUAUGUUCCAGUGUACUCUGACAUGUGGUCGUUCUGCAAUGUUGUCUGCGUGUGUGUGUGUGUGUGUGUGUGUGUAUGUCCUCGAUUAUGUCUGCGAUGACUUGCGUGUGUGGUUAUGCCACCGUGUUGUGCGUCCAAAUUUGUGUUCAAGGAUGAUGUUUCUCCCCAGAAGUCUUUUUUUUUUUUUUUUUUUUUUUUUUUUUUUAAAACAUUAUUUUGUUUUCAACACCCCUUUUGCUUGACAUACGUCGGAAUAUACUAAUAAAAUAGUUGAACAUGAUUCCCAAAAAUGUGCGAGACGCUGCCAUCUGUCUGAGUAAAGAAACUCUCCUAGUGACUAUUCGCCCUGUUUGGAGGCGUGAAGGUUCUGGAGCCAACGAGCUCAACAGCCAAGUCCUUAAAGAGCCAGCGCCUGCCAACCCCAUUAAUUACCCCUUUUAACACUUGACAAGUCAAGUAAACCUUCUUCCAUGGACUUUGCUCGACUGUCAACUAGUUCAAGCGCUUAGCAUGGACGGCACAGGACGCUAAUACUGAGCAGCGCCACCCCCACAAAAAUAACUUUUAGUACUAGGGGCGUCACUGGACCCUUUCACACGGUGUUUUGGAAACUUGUGCAAAGAUUGAGAACAAUAACAACAACAAGAACUCAACUUUUUCACUAUUUCAGUUUACUGGAUUUUAGGGGGCGUGGCUAAAACCCUGCACUGGGGGUCCAGCAUGAGUCGCCCCUCCCCCAGUAUAAAAGAACUGAGCGCCUUCGUUCGCAUCAGCGGUUGUCCGGUGCAAUUGCGACGUGCAUUUAGCUAGCUAGGCACGCCGACACCCCGAAAUUGCACCUUCCGUUUGGAAAUUUCGUUGAUGUGGCCGUUUUAGAGCACCUCGUCGUCGGCCAUGAGUGCUGCGCACAAAUGACAGUGAGAAAGGCGGAAGGCGCGAGCGACUAGGGAAAUAAAAAGGAAGGUUUUUUUUAAAAAUCAAAGCCUGACUUGUCAGCCAGCGUGCGGACCGGUACUUCGCGCUUGUGUGGUCGCUUUAGAGCGCCUCGUGGUCGCUGCGUGGAAAAUCCCCGCGACGACCUGGUGGACUGUAUUCCAGCCACCGGAGGCUUUAAGUGGAUAUAUUUAUCAAUCUGUGUCACUGACACAAGAAAAAGCCUGAAAAAAAAUGCAAACAGCGCCAUUACCGCCCACCAUGAAUACCCCCCUGUGCAUGUUUGUGUGUGCGUGUGCACAGUGUUUAUCGGGUCAUGUAAAUGACGGCGUCCAGACGAACACAGGUGGAUUGACGUAAAAAUAGAUUUGCGCUAAAUGAACUCAUUGUACGCCUCCUCAAUGCGACCUAGUGUGCCAAGAAACAAACAUCAAUGCACCUUCUUACACACAGAGACACCUAUUGAUUUUUUUUUUUAACAUAAAGCGCCUCCAUAAAUACGUACCGUUAUCGGCGUAAAUCACUUGAGGGGUUUGCAUUCCUCGAGUUACAAAUGCUGCUUUUAAUGGCAAAACAAGAACACUAUUGAUUUUGCCAGGGUGGCAUUGGCAGAGCAAGAAUCCUAUUGAUUUGGAACCAUAUUCAGCACACGAUAGCACGGCGAGCUCAGCGCAAAAUAGUAUAUUUACGUCGUCAGGGAAAGCUCAACUUUUUAGGGAGGAUUGUACUUUAGUACAACAACGCAAGAACCCCAUUGGUUUUGAAUACAGUCCGACACAAAGUUGCUAGCGUAGCGGGCGCUAAAUGUCAAAGGAGUAUGUGUUCUUUUGCAAAAUUCCCAACUUGUCCUCCUCAAACGGGAGUACAUCAAAGCAGGAAUCCUAUUGCUUUCUCCCAAUGUGUCUCUUUCGCGCGAGCUGGCCACGGAGAGUCACGACAAAGUGUCGUCGUUGCCCGUAUGUGCUGCUUGCCACCCGCGGCGAUGAUUUUUCCAGCCAAGGCCCAAAUUACGCCAUUCAAGUCCAAGUGAUCCUGCUCCUGCUGCUGCAAUUACUCUGCGGCCACAGAGCAAGCAGGAGGUGAGGGCGGAAUAGCACGAGCGCUACUAGUGCUAAUGUGUCAAACAUGGAGGAAGGAAGGGCUUUGAUGUUUUACGAGAAAGUUCCUGGAAUGUGCUUUGGACUUGGAGAAACGUGAUCCCUUCCAGCUCCUUCGAAGAGUCGUGACGUCCAAUCAUCAAGUUGUGGACGCACGCAGUCCAUUGUGGUGCGAUGUCACCACCCAGUGGUCGUUACGCAUACUGCGGGCAGUCUAACACCUGCACUUCCAACACGAAGACUGCAGAGGGCAGCGUUGACCCACAAAUACAAAACUGAAGCGGAUACUUUCUUGCUGCUCCAUGUUUAAUACCAAUUGUAACGUUAAUGUCAAUAACACAUAUUUACAAAAAUACACAAUCACAUAGUAUUGUUUUUCUAUCUAAUUUUUUUUAUUUUGUUUGUUAAUGUACGAGGUUUUCUGUGUAAGUAAUUAACCUGACAUUAUUAUGCUGUACUGAACUCAUGUAUAAAGCACGCCUAGUUCUAGGAUUUCACGUACUGUCGACAGUGUACCAGGAAGAGGUUCUUCUUUGGUAUUGAAGUGAAUAAAUGAUCUUGACUUAUGUAAUUAAUAAGUCAUGAUAUUCGCUGUGAAUGUGAAGAGAUAUGUCCACUUGCAGAGCAACCACAGAGCGGGCCUCCUCCACCACCUUGUUGACCCGGGACGGGAAUUGAUACGAACGUAGCGAUUCAGAGUCCUUACCGAUUCCCAUCGGGUGAGAGAAUGAAAUAAUACAAAUGGUUUUGUUUGCUUUAAAUCUUGGAUGCUUUAAAGAUGUAGUGCACACUCAUAA